AUGUAGAGCAAUCUCUGUCUAAGUAGGGGUAAAUUACUCCAAAAAACAUUGAUCCUAGAUAGUUUCCCUUCAAGUAAAGCGUCUUGU
rnacentral:pre_miRNA from 1 species